GACGAACGCUGGCGGCGUGCUUAACACAUGCAAGUCGAACGGAAAGGCCCUGCUUUUGUGGGGUGCUCGAGUGGCGAACGGGUGAGUAACACGUGAGUAACCUGCCCUUGACUUUGGGAUAACUUCAGGAAACUGGGGCUAAUACCGGAUAGGAGCUCCUGCUGCAUGGUGGGGGUUGGAAAGUUUCGGCGGUUGGGGAUGGACUCGCGGCUUAUCAGCUUGUUGGUGGGGUAGUGGCUUACCAAGGCUUUGACGGGUAGCCGGCCUGAGAGGGUGACCGGCCAAAUUGGGACUGGGAUACGGCCCAGACUCCUACGGGAGGAAGCAGUGGGGAAUAUUGACCAAUGGGCGGAAGCCUGAUGAAGCACCGCCGCGUGCGGGAUGACGGCCUUCGGGUUGUAAACCGCUUUCGCCUGUGACGAAGCGUGAGUGACGGUAAUGGGUAAAGAAGCACCGGCUAACUACGUG
rnacentral:rRNA from 1 species